AAAAAGGCAAACCCUGAGUUUUCGUGUCCAACUUUGACUGUCUGUCUUAUAUGAAAUUUUUUUAUAAUUCGUAUUUUUAUUGUUGUUAGAUGAUAAAACAUGAUUAAUAUUUUAUGUGUGACUUGUCUUUUUAAUUUUUUUCGUAAUUUUUUUAAAUAAGACGGACGGUCAAACGUUGGGCACGGAAACCAGGGUUUGUCUUUUU
rnacentral:pre_miRNA from 1 species